CUCCAGCCCGGCUCUUGGACUGGCCCCAGGUUCUGGCCCUGGGGGUUUCAAUCCAAAGCAUCAUUCACUGUGUGGCAUGUUUGGCAGCUGGACCCAGUUCACUGUCCUAGGUAAGCCCAAGGCUCCCCACUUGGUCACUCUGUUCCUGCCCUCCUCAGAGGUGCUCCAAGCUAACAAGGCCACCCUAGUGUGUCUCAUGAGUGACUUCUAUCUGAGCACCAUGACAGUGGCUUGGAAGGCAGAUGGCAUCAUCAUCACCCACAACAUGGAGACCAUCAAACCUUUUAAACAGAGCAAGAAGUAUGCAGCCAGAAGCUACCUGAGCCUGAUGCCUGACAGUGGAGAUCCCGCAGCAGCUACAGCUGCCGGGCCAUGCAUGAAGGGAGCACCAUGGAGAAGACGAUAGCCCCUUCAGAAUGCCCUGGUCCUCACACCAACCAUGGGGGCCUGGAGCUGUAGGAUCCCAGGGGAGAGGUCUCUCCUCUCAACCCAAGUCAUCCAGCACUUCUCCCUGCACCCAAUAAACCUUCAAUAAGUAUCCUCACUGUCAACCAGAAAAAAAAA